GUCGAGAAUUUUGGGCAAUGGACGAAAGUCUGACCCAGCAAUGCCGCGUGCGGGAUGAAGGUCUUCGGAUUGUAAACCGCUGUCGAGGGGGACGAAAUAUGACGGUACCCCUGGAGGAAGCCACGGCUAACUACGUGCCAGCAGCCGCGGUAAUACGUAGGUGGCGAGCGUUGUUCGGAUUUAUUGGGCGUAAAGGGUCCGCAGGGGGUUGAUUAAGUCUGACGUGAAAUCUCUUAGCUCAACUCAGAAAUUGCGUUGGAGACUGGUUGACUAGAGUGUUGGAGAGGUAAUUGGAAUUCCAGGUGUAGCGGUGGAAUGCGUAGAUAUCUGGAAGAACAUCGAAAGCGAAGGCAGAUUACUGGACAACAACUGACCCUCAGGGACGAAAGCAUGGGGAGCAAACAGGAUUAGAACCCCCGGUAGUCC
rnacentral:rRNA from 1 species